GGGUCGGUAGCUCAGCCGGUUAGAGCGUUUGCCUCUUAAGCAAAAUGUCGUGGGUUCGAUCCCCACCCGACUCAC
rnacentral:tRNA from 1 species